rnacentral:rRNA from 1 species
UACGAAGGGUGCAAGCGUUAAUCGGAAUUACUGGGCGUAAAGGGUGCGUAGGCGGUUGUUUAAGUCUGUCGUGAAAUCCCCGGGCUCAACCUGGGAAUGGCGAUGGAUACUGGCGAGCUAGAGUGUGUCAGAGGAUGGUGGAAUUCCCGGUGUAGCGGUGAAAUGCGUAGAGAUCGGGAGGAACACCGGUGGCGAAGGCGGGUCUCUGGGCAAUUCCUGACGCUGAGGCGCGAAAGCGUGGGGAGCAAACGGG